rnacentral:rRNA from 1 species
GACGAACGCUGGCGGCGUGCUUAACACAUGCAAGUCGAACGAGGCCCAUUCUUCGGUUUGGGUUCUAGUGGCGAACGGGUGAGUAACACGUGGGCAACCUGCCCCUGGCUCUGGGAUAACUCCAAGAAAUUGGGGCUAAUACCGGAUAUGACCGCUGACCGCAUGGUCUGGUGGUGGAAAGUUUUUUCGGCUGGGGAUGGGCCCGCGGCCUAUCAGCUUGUUGGUGGGGUAGUGGCCUACCAAGGCGACGACGGGUAGCCGGCCUGAGAGGGUGACCGGCCACACUGGGACUGAGACACGGCCCAGACUCCUACGGGAGGCAGCAGUGGGGAAUAUUGCGCAAUGGGCGAAAGCCUGACGCAGCGACGCCGCGUGGGGA